GAUGAACGCUGGCGGCGUGCCUAAUACAUGCAAGUCGAGCGAACAGACGAGGAGCUUGCUCCUCUGACGUUAGCGGCGGACGGGUGAGUAACACGUGGAUAACCUACCUAUAAGACUGGGAUAACUUCGGGAAACCGGAGCUAAUACCGGAUAAUAUAUUGAACCGCAUGGUUCAAUAGUGAAAGACGGUUUUGCUGUCACUUAUAGAUGGAUCCGCGCCGCAUUAGCUAGUUGGUAAGGUAACGGCUUACCAAGGCAACGAUGCGUAGCCGACCUGAGAGGGUGAUCGGCCACACUGGAACUGAGACACGGUCCAGACUCCUACGGGAGGCAGCAGUAGGGAAUCUUCCGCAAUGGGCGAAAGCCUGACGGAGCAACGCCGCGUGAGUGAUGAAGGUCUUCGGAUCGUAAAACUCUGUUAGUAGGGAAGAACAAAUGUGUAAGUAACUAUGCACGUCUUGACGGUUCCUAAUCAGAAAGCCACGGCUAACUACGUG
rnacentral:rRNA from 1 species